rnacentral:rRNA from 1 species
UCCUGGCUUAGGAUUAACGGCUGGCGGCAUGCCUAAUACAUGCAAGUCGAAUGUUUAGUAGCAAUACUAGAGUCAUGGCGGACGGGUGAGUAAUACAUAAGUAACCUGCCCUAGAGAUUGGGAUAACACUUAGAAAUGAGUGAUAAUACCGAAUGAAUCCAUUUAGAGGGGACUUUAGACGGAGAAAGGAUAUUAAUAUCGCUUUAGGAUGGGCUUGUGGCGCAUUAGCUAGUUGGUGGGUAAAGGCCUACCAAGGCGACGAUGCGUAGCCGACCUGAGAGGGUGAACGGCCACAAUGGAACUGAGACACGGUCCAUACUCCUACGGGAGGCAGCAGUAGGGAAUUUUCGGCAAUGGGCGGAAGCCUGACCGAGCAAUGCCGCGUGAAAUGAAGAAGGUCUUCGGAUUGUAAAGUUCUUUUAUAAGGGAAGAAAGGGUGGAUAGAUAUCCAUCAAUUGACGGUACCUUAAGAAUAAGCCACGGCUAACUACGUGCCAGCAGCUGC